GUACGGCUCAUUAAAACAGCUAUAAACUACUCGAAUUUGACCGUUUAAACGGAUAACUGCGAUAAUUUCGGAGCUAAUACGUGCACCAAUCCUAAGUUCUCUGAAUUUAGGGCACUUAUUAGAUGAAGACCUAACGGGCUUGCCCGAAUUGGUGACUCUGAAUAAUUUCGCUGAUCGCAUGGUCUUGUACCGGCGACGUAUCGUUCGUGUAUCUGACCUAUCAACUUUCGAUGGAAGUCCAUGUGACUGCCAUGGUUGUUACGGGUAACGGAGAAUCAGGGUUCGACUCCGGAGAGGGAGCCUGAGAAACGGCUACCACUUCCAAGGAAGGCAGCAGGCGCGUAAAUUACCCACUCUCAAUACGAGGAGGUAGUGACUAUCAAUAACGAGGCAGAUCUCUUUGAGGCCUGCUAUCGGAAUGGGUACAAUUUAAACCC
rnacentral:rRNA from 1 species